rnacentral:rRNA from 1 species
AUUAGCUAGUUGGUGAGGUAAAGGCUCACCAAGGCGACGAUCCGUAGCGGGUCUGAGAGGAUGAUCCGCCACACUGGGACCGAGACACGGCCCAGACUCCUACGGGAGGCAGCAGUGGGGAAUUUUGGACAAUGGGCGAAAGCCUGAUCCAGCCAUGCCGCGUGAGUGAAGAAGGCCUUCGGGUUGUAAAGCUCUUUUGUCCGGGAGGAAAUCCUGGCCUCUAAUACAGGUCGGGGAUGACAGUACUGGAAGAAUAAGCACCGGCUAACUACGUGCCAGCAGCCGCGGUAAUACGUAGGGUGCAAGCGUUAAUCGGAAUUACUGGGCGUAAAGCGUGCGCAGGCGGUUUUGUAAGCCAGAUGUGAAAUCCCCGAGCUUAACUUGGGAACUGCGUUUGGAACUACAAGACUAGAGUGUGUCAGAGGGGGGUAGAAUUCCACGUGUAGCAGUGAAAUGCGUAGAGAUGUGGAGGAAUACCGAUGGCGAAGGCAGCCCCCUGGGAUAACACUGACGCUCAUGCACGAAAGCGUGGGGAGCAAACAGGAUUAGAUACCCUGGUAGUCCACGCCCU